UACAGAGGUCCCGAGCGUUGUUCGGAUUCACUGGGCGUAAAGGGUGCGUAGGUGGUUGGGUAAGUCUGAUGUGAAAUCUCCGGGCUCAACCCGGAAAUGGCAUUGGUGACUGCAGGGCUAGAGUGUGUCAGAGGGAGGUGGAAUUCCGCGUGUAGCAGUGAAAUGCGUAGAGAUGCGGAGGAACACCGAUGGCGAAGGCAGCCUCCUGGGAUAACACUGACGCUCAGGCACGAAAGCGUGGGGAGCAAACAGG
rnacentral:rRNA from 1 species